AACUACAGGCAAAUUGACAACAAUAAAACAACCUUGGUUUGGGGAAUCAUCUGGAAAAGCUUUUUAAAAAACCCAUUGAUCCCACUAAGCUUAAGAAAAUAGACUCAUAACAAAAACCAUGAUGCAAGUAAGAAAUGAAGCAAGGUAAGGAACAUAAGAUAAGGAACAUAAGGAAAAAGAUAAGGAACAAAAGUUGUUGCACUGUUUCACAAAAAGGGAAGUGAAAAACUUCAGAUAUUAACAUCACCAACAAAAAGCUAAAGUGCUUUAUUGCUAAAGAAUGCAGCCAUUUGCUUUCUUUCCUAGAGAAUGAGAGGCAACACCAUCACAAUGGCUUUACCAGCAGGAUAUGGCUUGGCUUGAAAUCCAUGGUUGUCAAUCAGUUUAAGGAAGCAACAAACUCAUAACAAAAAGUCCAGUGCUACACAUCAUUGCACUGUUUCAGGAAGGAGGAAGUAUAAAAGAUCACAGAUGGUCACUACUAACAUGGAGACUGGAAGAUAAUUUUCCAGUUUACAGGGAACUGCUAUCUAUCUAUUAUCAUGUGAGAGAGAAAGAUAUGUCUCGAAGGAUCUGCUCUGCAAAACAGAAACAGAAACAAAACAUCUAUAGCUGCCAAGGAGAUGAUUCUUAUGAACAGGGAAGCCAAGCAAUGCCUAUUAUUGAUCAGUAGACUCAGACAUUAAUGGAAAUAGCUAAAUUGGAAAAGAUCCCCCUUACACACUAUGGCAAAUUGUAUUUAUUUGAUCAGGUAGGGCAACCUUUUAUUGAACGGCAUAGAUGCUUUGCUGUUAAAGUGGCUUAUUUUCCCUUUUGUAAUGUUCCAAACAGUUCUAGAGAUAGAAGGCUCUCCUUUUUAUUUUCUCUCAACUGCUCUUUUUCUGUCCAAUUCUGGAAUAAAUUGUUGUUCUUUCUACAAGUUAUGUUAAACAUAUGACUGUGGUUUAAUUCAGUGAAAGUCUUAUAGAGCAUCUUAACUGAACCUGGGAGGUCAUUUAUUCCUACUCAAACAGGUAAAUAUUUCUAAUCUACCUUUCAUUAGCAUGUAGAAUAGGGUUCUCUCUCUCUCUGCCAGGAGAAUAGAUCUAAAGGAAAGACUCAU